AAGUUGGAAUGGGCAGUGACUUUGCACAGUCUCUGCACACCUUUUCCACUUACCAAUUAGGGCCUGCCUCACAGAGAGAGAACACACCCUGCCUGGCUCUGCAAGGGAAUUUCAGUGCGACAGAUUACAAGCAUGAAGCUGCUUGGAGCUGCCCUUCUCUCCCUGGCUGUGUUCAGCAUCUGCACCGCAAAUGCACAAGAAAAUUCAUCUAUGACUCCAACAUCCAAGAACAUUCAGUCAACUACAGCACAAGAAAAUUCAUCUAUGACUCCAACAUCCAAGAACAUUCAGUCAACUACAGUUUCCAGUGAUUCAACCUUUACUAUAAGGAGUAGUACAAAUGUCUCAGCACAAGAAAAUUCAUCUAUGACUCCAACAUCCAAGAACAUUCAGUCAAUUACAGCACAAGAAAAUUCAUCUAUGACUCCACCAUCCAAGAACAGUCAGUCAACUACAGGAUACAGACCCCCAUUCUGUAGACAUGGUCUGUAUUGCUUGUUCCUUGCACAAGAAAAUUCAUCUAUGACUCCAACAUCCAAGAACAUUCAGUCAACUACAGUUUCCAGUGAUUCAGCCAUUACUAUAAGCAGUAGUACAAAUGUCUCAGCAGGGAAAACUGAAUCACUGCCAGGGAGUUCUGUGAUGGCAGCAUCAGACUCCACUAGGAUGACGGCUGGCUCCCACUGGACAUCAACAUUAACACCAAGUCAUGGCAGUCCCGGUAGCAAUGACAAACAAGCGGAUAAUGACCAGUAUUCCAGUAUUAUUUUGCCAGUUGUGAUUGCCUUGAUAGUAAUAACCCUUUCUGUGUUCAUUCUGGUGGCUUUGUACAGAAUGUGCCGGAGGACAACCACAGAGGGACAAGAGAAUGGAACUGAACAAGCCACAACAGAUAAAGAGGGUGUCAAACUUCUUUCUGUAAAGACAACUUCUCCUGAGACUGGUGAACACUCCUCUCAGGGAAAGAAUAGAACUCACCAACAUGAUGAAUCCUCCUCACACCUGGGCAAUAAAUAUCAAUUUGCCUAUCAAGAGCUGCCCCAUCGUCCUCUGAGAGCUGAGGCAUUUUCAUACUUCUCAAAUAUCUACUUAUAAGUUCAGGAUUUGGAUGUUCUGAAGUGUACCAAGUAUGGAAAAGAUCCUGUAGAGUUAUGUUUACUUUCCAAAACAGAAAGUUCUUUAACCAAUCUCUCUUCUUCAAGAGUUCUCAACUUUUUGAGAUGUGAAGCUGCCUCUUUUGCCACAUUAUACAGGAACUGCCCUCUGAAGUUACAGUUCCACGGGGGACAUGUGGAUCAGCUGCAGCUUCCUACAGACAGGCAGGACAUUUGUGUUAAUUGUUCUAUGAUUAGCUCUUAAUUUCCAUACUUUAAAUGCCUCCUGUUUUCUGCUGGAAAGACUCUUGUGUUUUCUUAAUGGCUACAUAACUGAUGUACUGUACAUAUUUAUUAUUUCUACAUAUAUUAAAGCAGAGAAACUUUCAGGAAUGAUAAAGGUAUUGUAAAAAUCUGGUGGUGUGUGACUAAUAAUGAUGUCUUUCUUGUAUAUAGAAAUGUUUUCUUCCCAUACAGGAAGGAAUAUGUUAAUAUAUUUUCUUAUAUGCUCAAUAAAUAGUCUUCUGAAAUCUCAUGUAGUAGAUGGCAAACUUGGGGCCUGAUCUUUCAAACACUAGUAUGCAAAAUUAUCAUUACCACAAGUACGUCCAUUGACUUCUGUGGGGCUACUCAUAGUAGUAAGCACUUCACCAGGAUGGGGCACUUGGAGAUAAUAUCAAAAGUGGUUUUGUUUUUGUUUGUUUCCAUGAAGGGGGCGAUUUUACUAAUUACGUUUUACAUUAGAUUUUUUUAAAACACUGUAAAUUGCUGCACAUGGUCCUUAAAAUGCAAACUAAUUACAAACAAAUAUUAUAGGGUUUUUUUUUUUUACUGUUCCUUGGGUAGUCACUUUGUUAUAUAUGCUGUAAGAAUAUUUCUCCAGAUUUAAUCUGCAUUAUACAGUGAGGACUCAAAAGGCAUUUUACAAUACUACAGGCUGCAUUUGUCAAAGGAAUAACAGCAGUGAUAGACUUUGUUUCUCAAAUUUUGAGUAAUGCAUGGAAUUCCUAUUUAUCAACUCAGGAAAUUUAAUGAUUCCUUCCAGUGAUAACUGCAGAAUAUCUCAAUUUAUAAAGCACUUAUGUAAAUAUCAAAUAGUGCUGCUAUCUCCAUGUGUUCUGCUUUUCUAGAUAUAUAAACCUUUGGAAAUUAUAAUAAUUUGAUCAAUCUCCAUCUGUUGAUUCAAGUUUCAUUUAUUUGCUAAAAUAUGAAAAUGAGACACAGGAGUCUCAUUAGUGGUCUAAACACAGGAUUGAGAACCAAGAAUUCUAAUCCUAGUUCUUUCCACUGUGCAUUUGGGCAAGUCACUUAGCUCCUCUUUCUAGUUUUGCUGCUCUGCAAAGUGGCAACAAUAACACCUACCUACCAGUCUCACAGGGCUAUUGUGCAGAUUAAUUAGUUAAUGUUUGUACAGUACUUUGAAGAUGAAAAGUGCUCUUCUGGUGGUAGGCAUUAUCAGCUCUCUUGUUUUCUGUUUGAUGGGUCUUGUACCUAAGGCCUUGGCUACACUGGCAGUGUACAACGCUGCAACUUGCUGCGCUCAAGGGUGUGAAAAAACACACCCCUGAGCGCAGCGAGUACAGCGCUGUAAGGCGCCAAUGUAAUCAAAGCCUGCAGCACUGCAAGCUAUUCCCCUCGGAGAGGUGGAGUACAUACAGCCGCGGCAGCGCUGUGAAGUCCCGAGUGUAGCCAAGACCUAAGACACUCAACGGAAAACUUUUCUAUGAAGCACUGUGAAAGCUGGGCACCAAGUCCACAACCAGUGUGCUACAGACUGCAGCUGAACUUUUAUGCUUAGAUAAAGCAUUCUUUGUGCUAGAUCAUCUGAGUGACUUGGGGGAGUUUGGUUGAGCAAAAGCAUCAUGAUGUCUGUACUUUCAAAAGGUGAGGCCAUCUAAAACGUGCAAUUUAAGAGUUUAUAUAAAAUAUUAUACCCACUUCAGCUUCCUGACUGCUGAGGAUUCCCAAUGGAAAGAAGAAUCUAUGCCCAAGUUUUCAUGUAAAUGUAAAAUAGGUGUUUCGGCACACAUUCUUUAUAGGGCAGUUUGAAAGAGCUGAGAAAUGUGAACGUGGAAGAUUAAUAUCAAGAUUAUGUAAGAUUUGUGCAGAAACUGUCAUUAAGUGUCCAGAUAAUGUUAAUCUUACAAUAAAACUUUGUAUCUGUA